UCCAGGAGGAGAUUACCCAGCUCGUCAUGCUAGAGCACUUUUUCAAUGUGCUCCCCAACGAGAAGGCGCCGACGCAUUCGUAUGUCAAUCCAUAUCAACUUUCGAUGCCAUUGACUGCACCUACCAAGGUGACCACGUGUAACAGGGAAUCAGGGUUCCAUUCCAUACAGGGACUCUGACAAACGGCUACCAUAUGCAUGGAAGGCAGCAUGUGCGCAAAUGACCCACUCCCGACGCUGGAAGGUAGUGACGACAAAUAACAAUACAGGACUCUUUAGAGGCCCUGUAAUUGUAAUGAGUCCACUUAAAAUCCUUUAACUCUGAUCAAUUGGAGGGAAGUCUGGUGCAGAGCCACUGACCCGUGCAUGCUGCAGCUGAAACUCCACUA
rnacentral:rRNA from 1 species